rnacentral:lncRNA from 1 species
UGGGGCUGAGCAAUUUGGGAAGCGCUGAAGUUUUCUGUUCCUGUCCUGUACUGGUUUUCACUAACCCAACUGUGAGAUUUCUUUGUUGCAAUGUUGGGGUCUGAGAUAACACUGCUGGAGGCUGGAGGCGAGAAACAUAGCCGAGACCAUCUUUUAGUGUGUGCUGUUAUUUACUAGCGCUGUGAACCAAGGAAGCGAAAUAACAAAGAGCCCGAAGACGGCACAGUUCCAGCUUGUAGGCCCUGGAGACAGUCUGGAGUCCUCAGACGGACAGAAAGAAGACAUCAGAAGGGCAACCUGGGGUGCCUGUGGCUGCUGAGUACAGGCGUGGGUGACUGAUUUUCAAGAAAUUGGCAACACGGAAGCUGAUUUUAAAAUAUUCAUAAGAAGUUGGCUUUUUCAGUUGUUCCGAUGUUCCUUUCAGCUGGUCCUAUAGCCCCCUUUCUCAGUAAUGUCUCCCCAGUGAAAGGAAAAAGACUGCAGAAGCUUCUGAUGGACGCUCAUGCCAACUGUGAAGUUGAAACAAAGCAAGUAACCAGCUGAAGAGGCCCCUCCUGCCCAGCAGCCACCCACAUGGUGCAGUUGCAGCCAGUAGUAAUCUUUGCAAGAAACAGAGAAACCCAGAACAUUCAGAAGUCAAAAACACCCCCUUCCUUGUGUGUAUCCCUCUGUCUGCGUUC